AACGAACGCUGGCGGCAGGCUUAACACAUGCAAGUCGAGCGCCCCGCAAGGGGAGCGGCAGACGGGUGAGUAACGCGCGGGAACGUACCUUUUGGUUCGGAACAACUCCGGGAAACUGGAGCUAAUACCGGAUAAGCCCUAACGGGGAAAGAUUUAUCGCCGAAAGAUCGGCCCGCGUCUGAUUAGCUAGUUGGUGAGGUAACGGCUCACCAAGGCGACGAUCAGUAGCUGGUCUGAGAGGAUGAUCAGCCACACUGGGACUGAGACACGGCCCAGACUCCUACGGGAGGCAGCAGUGGGGAAUAUUGGACAAUGGGCGCAAGCCUGAUCCAGCCAUGCCGCGUGAGUGAUGAAGGCCUUAGGGUUGUAAAGCUCUUUUGUCCGGGAAGAUAAUGACUGUACCGGAAGAAUAAGCCCCGGCUAACUUCGUG
rnacentral:rRNA from 1 species